GGAGAGGUGGCAGAGCGGUUGAAUGCGGCGGUCUCGAAAACCGUUAGAGGUGCAAGCCUCUCGAGGGUUCGAAUCCCUCCCUCUCCGCCA
rnacentral:tRNA from 1 species